UCAGCCGCUACUUCAUUUUAUCCCCUCAUCUUGUCUGCUAACUUAGAAACACACACAAAUGCAUAAAGACUUCAUCUUUUCAAAACCCAUUCAAGAUGUAACAUUCAUCUGCCUCAAACACUUUCGACCUCAGCCAUACCCCCUCCUCUCGGUCUCUCUCCUCGCCGCUCAAAACCGAUGAUCGAAGCCGGUUAACCAACCGGUGGUGGAUUGUUUCCAGCAGACGACCCCCCCCCCCCUCUCACACUUGUAGAUCUGAAGCAAAAUGAAAGCCACAUGGCGGCAGCGACGCGGUGUCUCAGCGGCGGAGGAGGUGGGUUGCGGAUGGUAGUUGGCAAUGAUGACGUUUCAGGAAGAUGAUGAUGCUGAGUGACAAUGAAUCUCCGACGAAGAUGAUGGCGGUGGUAAGGCACUUUGCCAACGAGCUUUUCCGGUGACGUUCCGUUCCGUUCGGGUGUAGAUUAUCGUCAGCCGCUUGACAUCGGGUGGUGGCGAGCAGCGGCCAGACGAGAACAAAAAAAAAAGGAGCCGACAAACGGCGUCGAGCUCCGGCGAGUUACGGCGUGGCCGACGAUGAAUCGACAGGGGUUACCGAUGACCAGUUUCGGCGGCGCCACCAGUACGACGGCGGUGAUGGUGGUUCUGAGGAUGCUGAUGACGAUGUGGAUGCUAAACAUCACAGUUGAAGUCCAGCAGCCCCGAUGUUCUUGAGUUUGCUCCGAUUUGGUUCGAGUCUCGGUCAAGGCAAGUCAGCGGACAGACUUCGAGUUUCGGGUAAGUGGGAGCGAGAUUGGUUCGACCCGGUUCGGAUGCGGAUCAACAGAGGUCAAGGUGGUUCAGGUCACGGUUCGGUUCGUAUUUGAGAAGGUUCGGGACUGUUAUGGUUCAACUCGACUUGUUUUGGUUCAUGUUUUGUUCUACGCGGUUCAUGCUCAGAUCCGUUUUGGUUCGGGUACUGUUCGGUCAACAAAGUCACACCAGUCAUCAUGGCGCGUUGACUGGUCAAUGCUGGUCAACUCAGUCAAUGACCGGUCAACGGAGUCAGCCGGUUAACAGCAGUCAACACGCAGCCCGGAAUGUCAUAGUUGCACGCUACGCUAGCAAGUUCACAUUCUUGGAGUAACAUCACGGAAUCACGUUAAGCUAGCUUUGCACAGGAAUGUCAAGGUUGCAUUUUUCAAAACUACGGAACGGUUGGAAUAGGAGAACCCACGGG